AGGAUGGAUAGCGCUACAGGCAGUUGUGAGCCACCACAUAGGUGCUGGUAACAGAACUAGGCCCUCCGAAAGAGCAGUAAGCACUAUUUAUUAACCACGGAGGCGUCUGUCCAUCUCCUCCAUCUUUUUUUUCUGAAGACAAGGAAACUCACUGAACUGGAAAACCUGGGGGAGAAAGCAAUAGAAAGGAGGCUUGACUGUGGUAUCCCAGCAUCCUUUGGACCAAACAUGGAGGUCACCAAAACCCAAGGACCAGCAACGCUAACCACCAUGCCUCCCCUACCAUGAUGGACUGCGCCCUCGGAAACCAUUCGCUAAGACAAAUCCCUCCCCUAAUUUGUUCAUGUCCGAUCAACGAGAAGAGUAACUAACUGACAUCCUCCUUAAGCGUGUGAACACGGAAGUGACCUGGAAGAUGGGACAGACUGGACCACCUGUUAGAGCCAAUCACCAGAUGCAUGUCUGAAAGAAACUCAAGAGAAGGGCAGACCUGCAAGGGGGAAGCCAGGCUCUGGUGUCAGGAACUCCAUCAGGUUGUGGAGAGCCAAAGCCAUCAGCAGGCUGAACCUUGAGUUCACAGAUCCCAGGCAAAGCCUUUCCCUUUUCCAGAGACACAGUUGCCAUCCCAGGAGGGUUAUGGGAGCUAGCGGGCUGAGCUGCCUCUCAGGUCAAGAGGGGAUGAGGGUUAGGCUGGGCUUUGGUUCCCUGUCAUGCCAAAGGUCAACAAGGAAGCGGCUGGAUUCCAUUGUCAGUGGCUUCCCUCAGAGCAUGUGCACUUGGGAUCUGGGGUCCCAAAUGCCUCUCUUCUAUAAACAGUAAUUUUUGUUUGAGGUUACAAAAGGA